rnacentral:rRNA from 1 species
UACAGAGGAUGCAAGCGUUAUCCGGAAUGAUUGGGCGUAAAGCGUCUGUAGGUGGCUUUUUAAGUCCGCCGUCAAAUCCCAGGGCUCAACUCUGGACAGGCGGUGGAAACUACCAAGCUGGAGUACGGUAGGGGCAGAGGGAAUUUCCGGUGGAGCGGUGAAAUGCGUAGAGAUCCGGAAGAACACCGGUGGCGAAGGCGGCCUGCUGGGCAGUAGCUGACGCUGAGGCGCGACAGCGUGGGGAGCAAACAGG